UAUUUUUGUUGUCUAGUAAUCUGCAUACCGUGUUGACAUAAGGUAGUAACAGUAUUACAGAGACAAUCAUUGGAAUUUAUGUACCGAUUUACGACAUCGUAUUUCCAAAGUGGCCGUAACCCUGAAAGAUAAGUCGUAAACGCUUUUCUCCAAUGGAAUCAUGGGUAAUUCUGUACGAAAAAGAACACAUUCGCUACUGCUGGGAAAAUUCUUUAUGAUUCGAAUAAUAAAUACAGUUGAAGCGGAAAAAUAACGCUCCAUUGUUUUUCAUCCUUCAGAACUUGAUGGAAUGCUGCUGAUAAAUAAUAUGCAAAAGUCUUUAAGAAGGGAGUAAAUAGUGAUGAGAAUUAUUUUGAAAUAAGAGAUUGGAACGAAGUUCUAAGGGAACAAAUGGCCUAUGCAGAGUUUGAGUUGAGAGAUUGGGAGGAAGUUCUCAAAGAACAAAUUAUGACUGGAUUGAUGAAGUCAAAGAUGACUCCCCUGGAUGAUAAUCCUGAUGACGAUCUUGUUGCAGUCAAUAAGGAGAUGAAGGAAGCUCAUAAGCGGGGGACAAUUGAUGAGCUGGAAGAUAUUGGUACAAUGGAACAGUUGUUGAACUGGCUGAUACAUUGGUGAAGAUUCGAAAAAGACUGUCAAAGUUGAUAGACUUUCAGAGAGCAAUUGAUGAGCGGUAUACAACAUAAAGGAUAGAAAAAAUUCGAAAAAGACUUUCAGACUUUUUGACAGUAAAUGGGUCACUUGAUGGCGCAAAAUUAUGUAACUUUGUAAUUCAAAAUUUGUAAAAGGAAGCCUAAAGAUAGUUGAGAUAACAUUUAAAUUGCUUUUGUUAUAUUAGUAAUGGAAAUAUCUCAUAUAUCUGUUUAAAUAAAGGAUUUAUUAAACGUUA